rnacentral:rRNA from 1 species
GGAUUGUGAGGUUAAGCGACUAAGCGUACACGGUGGAUGCCCUGGCAGUCAGAGGCGAUGAAGGACGUGCUAAUCUGCGAUAAGCGUCGGUAAGGUGAUAUGAACCGUUAUAACCGGCGAUUUCCGAAUGGGGAAACCCAGUGUGAUUCGUCACACUAUCAUUAACUGAAUCCAUAGGUUAAUGAGGCGAACCGGGGGAACUGAAACAUCUAAGUACCCCGAGGAAAAGAAAUCAACCGAGAUUCCCCCAGUAGCGGCGAGCGAACGGGGAGCAGCCCAGAGCCUGAAUCAGUGUGUGUGUUAGUGGAAGCGUCUGGAAAGGCGCGCGAUACAGGGUGACAGCCCCGUACACAAAAAUGCACAUACUGUGAGCUCGAUGAGUAGGGCGGGACACGUGGUAUCCUGUCUGAAUAUGGGGGGACCAUCCUCCAAGGCUAAAUACUCCUGACUGACCGAUAGUGAACCAGUACCGUGAGGGAAAGGCGAAAAGAACCCCGGCGA